UACAGAGGGGGCAAGCGUUAAUCGGAAUUACUGGGCGUAAAGCGUGCGUAGACGGUUAUGUAAGUCGGGUGUGAAAGCCCCGGGCUCAACCUGGGAAUUGCAUUCGAGACUGUGUAGCUAGGGUACGGAAGAGGGAAGCGGAAUUUCAGGUGUAGCGGUGAAAUGCGUAGAUAUCUGAAGGAACACCAGUGGCGAAAGCGGCUUCCUGGUCCAGUACCGACGUUCAGGCACGAAAGCGUGGGGAGCAAACAGG
rnacentral:rRNA from 1 species